rnacentral:rRNA from 1 species
GGAGUUUGGACCGUCUCUCAGUUCCAAUGUGGCCGAUCACCCUCUCAGGUCGGCUACCGAUCGUCGACUUGGUGGGCCGUUACCUCACCAACUAUCUAAUCGGACGCGAGCUCACCCCAAACCGGAUUGCUCCUUUUACCCCGGGAAGAUGCCUCCCCGUGGUCUUAUGCGGUAUUAGCACCUGUUUCCAAGUGUUAUCCCCCUGUCUGGGACAGAUUGCUCACGCGUUACUCACCCGUCCGCCACUCGAAUACAAACCUUCCGGACCGAAGCCCUUCCGCUCUGUAUCCUCGUUCGACUUGCAUGUGUUAAGCACGCCGCCAGCGUUCGUCCUGAGCCAGGAUCAAACUACU